rnacentral:lncRNA from 1 species
CCCCAUCCCAUCCCUUGACUAUCCUAUACAAAAUGGAAAAUCUCUUCUCCAAGGAGUUAGGAGACAAUAAUUGAUAUAACUAUGUCAUCUUAUAUAGGGACAAAAUGAAUACAAUCUCACCCUAUGGUCUUCCAAUCUAUAGUAGACAAACAGUAAGUAAAGAGAUAUUGUGUAAAUCCACCAACUAUUCAUUAUUUUUGAAGUAAUACAGUGAGUGCAUCACAUGUUAAAGAAAUAAAAAUAAGUUUAUUACUUUUAUUCAUGAACAUGUACAACUCUUGAGGCUCCUCUGUUUUGGUUCUCUCAAUUAGGUGCUUUAAGAAGCAAAGACGUAGUACAAUGAAGGCAGAGCUUUCAGAUAAAUGAAUAAGAUAUGUUAAAAAUGGAGAUUGUUUGCUAUUUAUAUACCUAAACUUGCACUCUAUGAAAAAUAAAUAACUUA